AUGAGUUAAGUAUAAACCCCUUUACAAGUAUCAAUUGGAGGGCAAGUCUGGUGCCAGCAGCCGCGGUAAUUCCAGCUCCAAUAGCGUAUAUUAAAGUUGUUGCAGUUAAAAAGCUCGUAGUUGGAUUUCUGUUAAUAAUUUUAUAGUAUAUUUAACAUAUAUUAUAUAAUAUUAACAUAAUUCAUAUUACUAUUUUUUUUAGUAUAUGAAAUUUUACUUUGAGAAAAUUAGAGUGCUUAAAGCAGGCAUAUGCCUUGAAUACUCCAGCAUGGAAUAAUAUAAAAGAUUUUUAUCUUUUUUAUAUUGGUUCUAAGAUAAAAAUAAUGAUUAAUAGGAACAGUUGGGGGCAUUUGUAUUUAACAGUCAGAGGUGAAAUUCUUAGAUUUGUUAAAGACAAACUAGUGCGAAAGCAUUUGCCAAGGAUGUUUUCAUUAAUCAAGAACGAAAGUUAGGGGAUCGAAGACGAUCAGAUACCGUCGUAGU
rnacentral:rRNA from 1 species